AUAAAGCCCUGCAGACCCUGAGAAGAAUAAAGCAGGAGAGAGUCUGUAGUGGCUGGGAGGGGAAGACUGCACUUUGAAGCAGGGGACGCCCUGCUGGUGCUACCUAUCGCAUCCACUGCUGGCGUGUUUCUUCUCUCUCCUCUCUGGUGAUUUGCCACCUUUCAAGGGUCAAUAAGUAAUAGUGCACUAGUGUAGGGAGUUUUUGAUUCCCACUUACAUGAUUAUAUAGAAUAGAUGCCUGUGUGUGUGAGAGUGUGCAUAUCUUGGCUGGAACGCAUGAUUCUCUGUGCAGCUCUGAGUGCCUAGUUUGCUUGUCUCUGCCUCUGAGACAAGCCAUCGUGGAGUGGACGCAUAAAACCUUGAAGGCGUGGCUCCGAGCCUUAAAAGAGGGGGCAGAGCUGACGGGUCCAGAACUGUGUCCCCAUGCCUCGAUUCUUCAAUUCAUUGGGACUACAUGAACACCUCCUUCCUCUUGGCUGGUGUCCCUCGUCUCCGCAAGUCUACGGAUACUACUUCUUGUCAGAAAAGGACUGCUCUUACUAUCUACUAUAUUUCGGCUGCUGCAACGGCUCAUUGAGAACAUUGUUUCAAAAACAGUACAGGUUGACCUGCUGAUAUCUGAUGAGCCAGACUGAGCUUUCUCCAGCACAGGUGUGUGCUUUCCACGCAUAAAUGAUAAUAAACACCAAGAGGCUAAAAGAUAAAGUGAGGAGCUCUUGCUGCCAUUUCAACAGUGAACACUGCAAACUCAAGGAGAGCAUUUCAAUAUUUUAUAUGCCCAACAUCCAACAUCAAGUAUCUCUCCUUUGAAACUGCAGACAAGGAGACUUCACAGAGCAUGAAUUGCAUGAAUUCUCUCAUCAAUUUAUGACCUGUCUCCAGACCCGUUUCCCUGCUUUCGGAUCAAGAGGAGCAGUCAGUACUACAGACCACAUUCACCUGCAGACAAGAGAUGUUUACAGAGCUGCUGAGAUUUAUGACUGAAGACUGUUCAACCCUGAAGCUGCAGUCCUUUUGUGAGGAAGAAGCUGGCAGGUCAGUAGGAGAUAACCUUCUCAUUUGCUCUUCCUGUCAGUGUAAGCUGGUUUCUGACCUGAUAAUAAACUGCUAAUCACCUAGUUGCAGUUCUUGGGUAGUACAGUAUUCAGUAAAAUAAAGUGGGUCUUCCCUUUUUUUCCUGUGUCUUAUUUGCUAAGAAUAACAUGGCCAAAUCUGAGUGGAGUGAUAGAGGGGGAAAAAAAAUCAUUGUGUGAUAAAUAUGUCUUAAGUCAUGAGAUAGACCUUUUAAAUGUUCGUUCAGGAGUUUUGGUGGUGAGCAAUUACCGCAUUCAUGUUGAUCGAUUUGUUGUUUUGAGCUUGUGUUUGAGAAUCCUGUCAGCACUGCCAGGGACUUGGAUAUUUAUACAUGAGAAUAGUCAGCGUUUUUCUCCAUUUUCACUGGGCUUUUUUUCCUCUUUUUUUUCUGAACUUCUCUGAGAACCCUCAAGAUGGCUUUCAGGUUUGCUGUCAUUCAACACUUUAAGCUGUUGCACAAAUCAAGACAGGGUGAAGUCACUUCAGAGUCACCUGGGCCACUACACAGAAAUACCCCAUGAUGGCUUUUCUGAGCAGCUAGAUUUAAGUCACAUCAUGGGGACAAACCUUACAUGUUUUUAAAGAGCAAAUAUUAGUUUGCUUGUCAUCUCAAUUCUGUCCAUGUAAGUGAGACAUUAUCUCCACUGGCUCUAGAGAACAAUUGAACUAGAGGCUGAGAUUCACACAAGUCACCUGUUAGCACUUUCAAGCAAGGCCCUUCUUUUCUCAACAGCAGGUAGCUUCACAUUAUCCUGACCAGAGAUAAGGGCUUUGUUUUAUGCCUCAAAGCAAUAAAAGGAAGUGUUUGUAGAAAGGCCCAUCUGUAAGUCAGGGAGAAAAAAAGAACUGAAUCUCCAGCUGUGAGGAAGAGAACCUCAGCUGCAAGAAGAGAGAAGGAAAGAAGGGAACCCCUCCAGCUGCAAGAAGAGAGAGGGAAAGAAGGGAACCUCCAGCUGCAAGAAAAAAAUGGGAAUAUCCAGCUGCAAGAAAGAAGGGAAAAGCAUGUAACAUAAAACAGCAAGAAUUAAAGGAAAACAAGGGAAUGGGAUGGAGCCCAAACUGCAAGGAAGAAGAGAAAAGAAGGGAGAUUCCAGCUGCAAGAAAGAGGGGGAAAGAAGGGAACCUUGAACAGCAAAAUGAAACAGGAAUGAAGGCAGACUCCAACAGAAAGAAGGAAGAGGCAACAAGUGAACAUCCAACUUCAGGAAGAAGAGGAAAGAAAUGGAUGUUCAACUGCAAGAAAGAAGGGGAAAAAAGGGAAGAUCCAACUGGAAGGAAGAAGGGAAGGUCCAAGUACAAGACAAAGGAAAAAUAGGGAACUUCCAACUGCAUGAAAGAGGGGGAAAGAAGGAAAACCCAAACUGCAAAAAAAAAAAAAAAAAA